rnacentral:rRNA from 1 species
UACGUAUGGUGCGAACGUUGUUCGGAAUCACUGGGCAUAAAGAGCACGUAGGCGGUUAAGCAAGUCCAUUGUGAAAUCCCCCGGCCUAACCGGGGAACUGCAUUGGAUACUACUUGACUUGAGUGCAGGAGGGGAGAGUGGAAUUCCAGGUGGAGCGGUGAAAUGCGUAGAUAUCGAGAGGAACACCGGUGGCGAAGGCGGCGAUCUGGACGAUGACUGACGCUGAGACGCGAAAGCGUGGGGAGCAAACAGG